UCUUGCUAAGCCUCCAUUUGUCCGCAAUACCUCAUCUCCCUGGACGCAGGACAAGAACUCAGGACCCGCCUGGAGGACUGACAUUCAGACGUGGAGCAAGUUGGACUGCAUAGGGACCCACCAGUGAGAUGGACGCUGUCUGUAAACGGGGAAAUUUAUGGAAAGAUGUCCUCCUGCAACUGCUGAAAAUGCAACAUGCUGCCCAGGUCCUGCUCAGACCACUGACAACUCAGAAGUUAAUACUCAGAGUGGAAAGGUGAGUAAAGGCUGUUUAAUGACCACCCCAUGAAAAGAGUCAGAAUUACAUCCCUCUUGAUUCCUGUUUCUUUCUGAACAACAUAAAUGUAAUGUAAGCCAAGCUAAUACAUGCUGUUUUGUGGUAUAUAAUGGGUUUUCUGUAGCCAGAUGUGGCGCUGAUUAUUAUUUUUUUUCUGCAAACCUGUGUUACUUUCAGCGUAGCAAAGUGUAGUACAUGAGCAAGCGUUUCAAGCCAGACGGAGUUAAUCAUCUCUGUCACUGAAUUGGAGCUCACGGUCUGCUGGACAACUGUGCUGAGUGGAAAGGAAGCCUCGAUGGCUAAGUCACUUGUCCAACCUCAGACACUGGCAGAUCCAGGAUUCAAACAGCUAGACUCCAAAUGUGUUUCCUUUAACCUCUUUUCUACCUUUUCAACUUGAUUCCACACAUCACCACUGGGAAAGCUUAGGUGAGUAAGUCAUGUGGGCUUUGGUUUUUUCAUCUGCACGAUGGAUAGACUGAGACCUUCUUCCCUCAUGCCUCUGAGGAUGACAUAAAAAACCCACAAAAUCCCUAGUCCACUUACUUGCUCACAGAUAUUUACUGAGUGAGCAUCUGAUUUCCAUCCCAUUGUCACCUUCUCCCUAGCUGUCCAGACACCCUGCUUGCCUGGCCAAUGCCACCAAAGAAUGGAACCUGCUUUUGUUCCACACUCCGUAGCCAGAAAAAAGAGACAGUUGUUCUGGCAUGUUAUUGUUUGAUUUUAUUUUACCUCAGGGAUUAAAAAAAAUGACUAUCAAUUAUAGCAACAUCAGGUAGAGGGUUUGGUAUACAUUUCCGAUGAGCUUAGAUUUCUCUCAAAUUCUCAUACUUUUAAGAUUUAUUUUUAAAUGUGAGCAUUGAAACUUAACCAAUCCUUUAGACUCUUACUCAACAAGGGAUUCUAAAGAACAUUUCUCAGUAGGAAUUAAUCAUUUAUUUUGAAACUACAUAUCUAAUUUGUCUACUAUGGGAAGGAUAUGGAAAGAGAAAACCCAAUUCUUUUUAUUUUUUGGAACAGCUGGGUCCCCAAACCACCAGCAGCUGCUUCACAAAUUGCCUAGCCAUUAAGUAAUUAUUUCCUCAUCAUAAGAGCAGCUGGAAGAGCUAGUCUCUCUCCCUCCCCAGUGCAACUCCCACUUCCUUCUGCCUCCUCCACCCUGUCCUGAAAUGGGCAGGCCAAGAGGUAUACGGUAUUGGUUUUCUUUACGUAAUUGAAGACUGGAAUUGAGCACUCUGAUAGCUGAUUAUUUUUCA
rnacentral:lncRNA from 1 species